rnacentral:tRNA from 1 species
UCCCUGAUGGUCUAGUGGUUAGGACUCAGUGCUUUCAUUGCGGCAGCUCGGGUUCAAUCUCUGAUCUGGGAA